GACGAACGCUGGCGGCGUGCUUAACACAUGCAAGUCGAACGGAAAGACGCGGCGCUUGUGGGGUGCUCGAUAGGGGAGCGGGGGAGUAAAACGUGAGGAACCUCCCCUUGUCUGUGGGAGAACUCCACGAAAAAGGGGAUAAAAUCGCGGAGGAGCUACUGCUGCAUGGGGGGGGUUGGAGAGUGUCGGCGGUGGUGGAUGGACUCGCGGCUUAUGAGCUUGUUGGUGGGGUAGUGGCUUACCAAGGCUUUGACGGGUAGGCGGCAUGAGAGGGCGAACGGCGACAUUGCGACUGCGGUAGGGACCAGUCUGCUACGGGCGGCAGUGGUGGGGAGUAUUGCGCAAUGGGCGGACGCCUGAUGCGGAAACGCCGCGAGCGUGAUGCCGGCUUACGGGUUGUAAACCGCUUUCGACUGUGCCGAAGCGUGCGUGACGGUACUGGGUCAAGAAGCCCCGGCUAACUACGUG
rnacentral:rRNA from 1 species